CCAAGUCCCGGAGCACUCCCCCCGGCGCCGGGACUUUCCCAGAGCCGGGCUUCGGCGCCUGUCCCCCCUGGUGCCGGGGCCCGGCUCCACG
rnacentral:ncRNA from 1 species